rnacentral:rRNA from 1 species
AUUGAACGCUGGCGGCAGGCCUAACACAUGCAAGUCGAGCGGAUGAAGGGAGCUUGCUCCUGGAUUCAGCGGCGGACGGGUGAGUAAUGCCUAGGAAUCUGCCUGGUAGUGGGGGAUAAGGUCCGGAAACGGGGGCUAAUACGGCAUAAGCCCUGAGGGACAAAGGGGGGGAGCUUCGGACCUCACGCUCUCAGAUGAGCCUAGGUCGGAUUAGCUAGUUGGUGGGGUAAAGGCCUACCAAGGCGACGAUCCGUAGCUGGUCUGAGAGGAUGAUCAGUCACACUGGAACUGAGACACGGUCCAGACUCCUACGGGAGGCAGCAGUGGGGAAUAUUGGACAAUGGGCGAAAGCCUGAUCCAGCCAUGCCGCGUGUGUGAAGAAGGUCUUCGGAUUGUAAAGCACUUUAAGUUGGGAGGAAGAGCAGUAAGUUAAUACCUUGCUGUUUUGACGUUACCAACAGAAUAAGCACCGGCUAACUUCGUG